rnacentral:rRNA from 1 species
UGUAUAAGUUAUAAAGUCUAGCCUGCCCACUGAUUGAUUUAAAGGGCCGCGGUAAUUUGACCGUGCGAAGGUAGCAUAGUCAGUAGUCUUUUAAUUGAAGGCUUGAAUGAAAGGUUGGACGAGGGAUGAGCUGUCUCCUUUAUGUAAUUUGAAUUUAACUUUUGAGUGAAAAGGCUCAAAUUAUUUAGUGGGACGAUAAGACCCUAUAAAACUUUAUAUAAGUUUAAUUUGGCUUACAAUUUGAGUGAAAAGUAGCUUUAUUAGGCUUAUAUUUCGUUGGGGAGAUGUAGAUAUAAUGUGUAACUGUCUGUUUAAUUUAAUAAUUAUAAUUAGUGUGUGAUCCUUCUUUGUGGAUUAAAAGUGUAAGUUACUUUAGGGAUAACAGCGUGAUUUUCUUUGAGAGUUCUUAUCGACAAGAGUA